GAGGCAGCCAUAAGAAAGCGUUUUAUUUGCAAGCUUAAUGAAGCGCUGAUACAAUGCUGCCAGAUUAAACACCAAAUAGCCAAGAACAAGUCAGCUUAGCGUAGUCCAUAAGCUGAUCUACACGUGGCAUUACAUUC
rfam:Drosophila busckii chromosome 2L sequence.